AUGGGUGCACGCGCAUAUCCAUCUGAUGCAUGCACUACAUGUCUACAUCCGUCGGUCUCCACAACGGCACACGACCUGGCCAGAACAACACACACAUGCAUGAACUGCCGCACGCACACGCCAUACGCUCACGCCACGUUACUGCGUCCCGCACGUCUCAUCCAUCCCGUGCGCAUCCGACGCAUCGGACGAGUCCGACCACACACAUCGUGGCUUAUUCUAACACACCCCCCUAAGCCACGACCUAGAAGAGUUCGUUGUCGUCGACGUUGUAGCCGCUACCGCCCUGAUGUCGCUGCCAAGCCUGCCACCGUGCCGCCGUGCCCUUCGUGCGCAGUCCCCACGUCCCCGCGCUCCCGGCCGCGCUCCCGCCGCGCACGUACGCGAUCUGCACAACCAGGUCCAGCGCCUCGACGCGGUCCACUCCCGCGGUCUCGACGCGCCCGACGCGUCCGGUGCGCACCCAUAACACGCACCGGUCACGUCCGGCUCGCCGCCGCGCUUAUUGCCCUGCACCGCUGCGCCGUCAACCACAGCGCAACGCCUCCACGGUCGUCGCGCCGAGCCGCCGCGGCCUCUGCAACACCACGCAGGUCCUCCGCGACCUCCUCGACUCCGCGACCGCCGCUGCUCGUCGCGCGCACGGCAUCACGCAACACCGUCGUGGACUCGCCGCGCGUUGCCGACGCCACGCGCUCACCGCGCGCCCGGCAUCACGCCACACCGCCAUGGACUCGCUGCGCGAUGCCGACGCCACGCGCUCGCCGCGCGCCGUUGCCAAGACCUUCAUGUCCGCCGCGCACCGCGGGCAGCGCGGACGCCGCCGCGCGCCACGGCCGCCCCUCGAAUCUGGCUCUGAUACCAAAUGUUGGGACAAACUCACCGACGCAAACGACGCCGGAUAGAAGUAGACGAAGGAGACACCAUAAUUUUUCUGGCGCACGAACGCCUGUAUAUUGGCUUUAUUUCUCACAACGACUCAAACACAUACAUGGAGGUACACACGCAGCACAACCCGAAAGAACUCUUACGUCGAUCGGGCACACACCACGGUCCCGACCGAGACUACAUCUUCCUUAG
rnacentral:rRNA from 1 species